AGUGAACGCUGGCGGUAGGCCUAACACAUGCAAGUCGAACGGCAGCACAGUAAGAGCUUGCUCUUACGGGUGGCGAGUGGCGGACGGGUGAGGAAUACAUCGGAAUCUACUUUUUCGCGGGGGAUAACGUAGGGAAACUUACGCUAAUACCGCAUACGACCUACGGGUGAAAGCAGGGGAUCUUCGGACCUUGCGCGAUUGAAUGAGCCGAUGUCGGAUUAGCUAGUUGGCGGGGUAAAGGCCCACCAAGGCGACGAUCCGUAGCUGGUCUGAGAGGAUGAUCAGCCACACUGGAACUGAGACACGGUCCAGACUCCUACGGGAGGCAGCAGUGGGGAAUAUUGGACAAUGGGCGCAAGCCUGAUCCAGCCAUACCGCGUGGGUGAAGAAGGCCUUCGGGUUGUAAAGCCCUUUUAUUGGGAAAGAAAAGCAGCAGGUUAAUACCCCGCUGUUCUGACGGUACCCAAAGAAUAAGCACCGGCUAACUUCGUG
rnacentral:rRNA from 1 species